rnacentral:piRNA from 1 species
UGAGGUUUCAGAGCCAUUGCUCCUUCUGC